rnacentral:rRNA from 1 species
UUUUGUAUAAUGGGUCAGCGACUUACUGUUCGUGGCAAGCUUAACCGUAUAGGGGAGGCGAAGGGAAACCGAGUCUGAUAAGGGCGCAUAGUCGCGGGCAGUAGACCCGAAACCGGGUGAUCUAGUCAUGCCCAGGGUGAAGGUGCGGUAACACGCACUGGAGGCCCGAACCCACUCCCGUUGCAAAGGUAGGGGAUGAGGUGUGAUUAGGAGUGAAAAGCUAAUCGAACCCGGAGAUAGCUGGUUCUCCUCGAAAGCUAUUUAGGUAGCGCCUCAUAUGUAUCCUCUCGGGGGUAGAGCACUGUUAUGGCUAGGGGGUCAUCGCGACUUACCAAACCAUUGCAAACUCCGAAUACCGAGACGGACUGUAUGGGAGACACACGGCGGGUGCUAACGUCCGUCGUGAAAAGGGAAACAACCCAGACCCACAGCUAAGGUCCCAAAUUCACUGCUAAGUGGAAAACCAUGUGGAAAGGCACAGACAGCCAGGAGGUUGGCUUAGAAGCAGCCACCCUUUAAAGAAAGCGUAAUAGCUCACUGGUCGAGUCGGUCUGCGGG